rnacentral:rRNA from 1 species
UACGUAGGGGGCAAGCGUUACUCGGAAUUACUGGGCGUAAAGGGCGAGGAGGCGGCUGAGCAAGUCAAGGAUGAAAGCACGAGGCUCAACUUCGGAAUUGUGCUUGAAACUGCUCAGCUUGAGGGUAGUUGAUGAGAGUGGAAUUCCCGGUGGAGCGGUGAAAUGCGUAGAUAUCGGGAGGAACACCUGAGGCGAAGGCGGCUCUCUAAGCUAUUCCUGACGCUGAAUCACGAAAGCUAGGGGAUCAAACGGG